AUGUGCAUGUCCAUCCUCCCGCGGCGGGUCAGCGCUGGGUCGAGCAUGUCGACGCGGUUGGUGGUGAAGACGAUGACCCGCUCGCCGCCGCUCGCCGACCACAGCCCGUCCACGAAGCUGAGCAGACCGGAGAGCGUCACCUUGCUGCCGUCAUCUUUGUUGGGGUCCAGCGGGUCGCAGCAGCUGCCGCCGGCGCCCUUCUUGUCGGCGACCUUGCGGUUUCCGGCGAGGUCGACCUCGAUGGCGUCGAUGUCCUCGAUGACGAUGAUGGACUUGCCCUUGGUCUCGAUGAAGAGCUUCCGGAGCUCGGCGUUGUUCUUGACGGACGUGAGGUCAAGGUCGUAG
rnacentral:rRNA from 1 species